CUCCCAUGGGGUGCAGGGCCCAAGCACCUGGGCCAUCCUCCACUGCACUCCCGGGCCACAGCAGAGAGCUGGCCUGGAAGAGGGGCAACCGGGACAGAAUCCGGCGCCCCGACCAGGACUAGAACCCGGUGUGCCAGCGCCGCAAGGCGGAAGAUUAGCCUAGUGAGCCGUGGCGCCGGCCUGUGCCUUGAUUUUAUUGUUAUAUGUGUCCAGAAAUCUGGCCUCUCAUGUUCUUAAUGCUACUUUUGUUGCAUAUUUUACUGUAUGUUACACAUCCCAGGAGGUACUUUUAUUGCUGCUGUGGUAAACAGCCUGUGUUUGUUUCUCUGUCCACACAGGUGCCCCUUUUCUGUGCCCUGCCUGCCCUCCUGGAGUCCUGGAGGAGUCCCAGGAUCACUCUCUGUCGCUGGGGGAGCUCCCUGGAAUGAAGAGGGCUGGCAAUUAAUUCUCUGGUUGCUUUUGUCAAAAAGCAUAUUUAUUUUGUCUUCAUUUUUAAAACAACUUUCACUGGACUAUCAUUCAUACACCAAACACUUCCCCCGUUUUAAGUACAUAACUUGGUGGUGUUUAAUGUGUAUGCAAAAUCUUGCAACACAACCUUUGCACCUUUUUUAAGUUUUUUUUUUUUAAGAUUUUAUUUAUUUAUUUGAGAGGUAGCAUUACAGACAGUGAGAGGGAGAGACAGAAAGAAAGGUCUUCCAUCUGCUGGUUCACUCCCCAAAUGGCCGGAACGGCUGGAGCUGUGCCAAUCUGAAGCCAGGAGCUUCUUCUGGUUCUCCCAUGUGGGUGCAGGGGCCAUCUUCCACUGCUUCCCCAGGCCAUAGCAGAGAAGUGGAUUGGAAGAGGAGCAGCCAGGACUCGAACCAGUGCCCAUGUGGGACGCCGGCACCGCAGGAGGAGAAUUAACUUGCACCACAGCGCUGGCCCCUGGACCUCUUUUGUUACCCCAAAAAGAUAGCUUCCCUAGCUGCCACCUUUCAUUGCUGGCAUCCGCUGCCUUGCCGUCCUCGGCACUCACUCAUCUCCGGCUGACCUGGUGGAUUUGCUCUUCUGGUCGUUUGCUGGUAAGGGGAUCGCACAAUACAUGGUCUUCCAUGCCUGGCUUCUUGCACUUAGCAUAAGGUGUUCUGGGUUCCUCAAUGUCAUGUUAUAUGUCAACACUUCAUCUCCUUUCCAUAGAGUUCUGUUUUUAUUGAAGUAUAAUGUCUUUGUGUUCAAGUGAACAAAUCUUCGCUGUAUCCACUGAUCUUUUCUUGUGCAUUUCAUGUGUAACGGCCAUGGUAGUCAAGUCAGGACAUUUCCAGUGCUCUGAGGUUCCCUUCUCCCCUUUCCUAACUCAUGAUCCCCCCCACAGAAAAAUUCCUGUUCUGACCCUUAUCACCAUACAUUGUUUUAUGGUUUGUUUGUUUUAGAUUUAUUUAUGUAUUUGACAGAGUCACAGAGAGAAAGAGAAAGAAGUCUUCCAUUUGCUUGUCCACCCCCAGGUACCUGCAAUGGCUACAGCUGGUCCAGGCUGAAGCCAGGAACCUGGAACUCAUCUGGGUCUCUCACAUAGGUGUCAGAGGCCUAAGCAGCUGAGCCAUCCUCUGCCGCCUUCCCAAGGGCUUUAGCAGGGAGCUGGAUCAGAAGCGGAGCAGCCGGUGCUCGAACCUGGUGCUCUGAUACGGGAUGCCAGUGUCCCAGGCUACAGCCUAACCUGGUGCACCAGAACACAGCCCCAGUUUAUCUUUUAUUAAUAGCUUUUAUUGAGAAAUAGCUCAUGCAAUAUACAAAUCAUCUUUCUAGAGUAGACAAUUCAGAGGUUUUUAGUAUUGUCAGAGUUGUACAACCAUAAACACAGCUAAUUUUAAAUGUCUUCAUUGCACCUCCAACCCCCAAAAGUCACACUGUCAUGUCCGCUGCAUUCCGUUGGUUACAUGGGCCGAGCCUGGUGCGAGGUGGGAGGGCACCGUCCAAGCAUGUGAAUUCUGAGAAGUAUGAGGAACAAAGCGGUGGUAAUUCCUGGGAACUGUCACUUGCUGCUACACAGUCUGCAUAGAGCCAGCCCAGUUAUGCAUGUCCCUCCCAUAUGCAAAACAGACUGUGCCCCUCUGACUAAGGCCCCCAGGAGUCUCAUCACAACAUCAGCUCGAAGUCCAUAAUCUCAUCACCAUCCGUGGGUGUCUGCCCCUUACUUGCAGCUCCUUUUCAUCUGAAGACCCAAAGAUCUGUGAACGAGAGACAAGGAUCUGCCUCACCACACCACACCCAUAACCACAGCACACAAUAAGUGGCUACUAUACACACUCCUGUGCCAAAACGGGGCAAAAGCAGUGGUGGGCACUGUGGCUGCUUCAUUUCCGAUCCAGGUUUCUGCUGAUCCACCAGGAAGGCAACAAAUGAUGCUUCAAGUAGCUGGAUUCCUGCCACCCAUGUGGGAGACUCAGAUGGAGUCGCUGGCUCCUGGGCUUUUACCUGGCCCAGCCUUGCCUAUUGUGGACAUUUGGAACCAGCAGAUGAAGAUCUCUCUCUCUCUCUCUUUCUGUGUGUGUGUCUGUCCGUCACUCUGCCUUUCAGCUAACUAAAUUAAUUAAGGAGUUUGCAGGACUUCUGAAGCCGGGCGAGGCCUGCGUUAGCUCCUGAGUGAGACUCGACCUGGGGAUAGCCCUGCAGCUGAGUGGUUUCUCGCCUGUACUCCAGCCGGGAGAAAGCUGGGCGGCCACACAGACAGCUCUUGUUCUGCACUGGCUCAAUCUUCCAGCGCACGCUGGCCGUUUCUGCCACAACGGUUCUCUCUGGUCACUCCUUCUGAGCUUCCAGCCAGGAGACCGAAGCCUCAGCCACACAAUCUUCCCGGUAAAUCCUCCUCCGACUUGGGCUUCUCCGAGUCCGGGACAGCACCCUCCGAGCCGUGAAGAAACUGUUGUUGGGGUGACUUCUCACUGUCUGCGCUGGAUCUUUCUAAGCUCUUAGUAAAGGUAGAAUAACCGAGAGAGAGAGCUCGACUAUCCGCUGUUUCACUCCCCACAUCACUGCGACAGCUAGGGCUGGGCCAGGCUGAAGUCAGGAGCCAGGAACUCCAUCUGAUCUCCCACAUGGGUGCCGGGCCUGUAUACAUGAGCCGUCUCGCGCUGCGUUCCCUAGCACAUUAGCAUGGAGCUGGGCUAGCGGAGGAAGGACUGGAACCUGCUCUCUGGCACAGGGUGCUGUGCUGUGUGCUGUGCCACGCCAGCCCCUGGAGGCGGCUUUCAGGUGUGCUGCCGCCACCUGGAAACCACGCCCACCGUAAGUCCCAGGUGUGCAGCAGGGCUCCAGGUGCGGCCCCGCAGUACACACAGCCGCUGACGUCUGCCUGUUCCCAGGUUCUGUGCUAGGCCUGCCCGAAUCUCGCCCGUGAAUUCUGUCACAAAGCUCUCCAGGAUCCCAGACCUUUCAGGACGACUUCUGGGGCUCCUUCUCCGAGGCUCUCUUCUCUCAGAAGUGGCCCCUGCAUCCCAGCCAUUGAUGGCUGCAGGUUCCAGCCUGUGGUCUGCCGGGGAAGACGCCCACCCUGCAUGCGUAGGUUCCAGCCCAGUAAAAGGGCUCCCAGGGAAAGAGCCGGGGUGAGGGUGGCACCCACGCUGUGGGUUUCGCCUCGGGAAUCCCCGCCUGUCUGAGCUGCUGUCGACACCGCAGUCAUUUCACGCACUGCUUGGCUUUUGCUCCACAAGAAAUCAGCCUGUUUCCCACCCCGCUCGCUCAUUAAUGCACUCCAUAAAGGCAUGCUUCUCUAUUAAUCUCACUUCCCACUCCUUGGGGUAGUUUCUGGGAUCAUUUCCUCAUUAAAUGACUUGCAAACUUG